GACGAACGCUGGCGGCGUGCUUAACACAUGCAAGUCGAACGGAAAGGCCCUGCUUUUGUGGGGUGCUCGAGUGGCGAACGGGUGAGUAACACGUGAGUAACCUGCCCUUGACUUUGGGAUAACUUCAGGAAACUGGGGCUAAUACCGGAUAGGAGCUCCUGCUGCAUGGUGGGGGUUGGAAAGUUUCGGCGGUUGGGGAUGGACUCGCGGCUUAUCAGCUUGUUGGUGGGGUAGUGGCUUACCAAGGCUUGGACGGGUAGCCGGCCUGAGAGGGUGACCGGGCACCAUGGGACUGCGAUACGGACCAGUCUCCUACGGGAGGCAGCAGUGGAGAGUAUUGCACAGUGGGCGCGAGCCUGAUACGGCAGCGCCGCGUGCGUGAUGACGGCCUUCGGGUUAUAAACCGCUUUCGCCUGAGACGAAGCGUGAGUGACGGUAAUGGAUAAAGAAGCGCCGGCUAACUACGUG
rnacentral:rRNA from 1 species